GGUUAAGCGACUAAGCGUACACGGUGGAUGCCCUGGCAGUCAGAGGCGAUGAAGGACGUGCUAAUCUGCGAUAAGCGUCGGUGAGGUGAUAUGAACCGUUAUAACCGGCGAUUUCCGAAUGGGGAAACCCAGUGUGUUUCGACACACUAUCAUUAACUGAAUCCAUAGGUUAAUGAGGCGAACCGGGGGAACUGAAACAUCUAAGUACCCCGAGGAAAAGAAAUCAACCGAGAUUCCCCCAGUAGCGGCGAGCGAACGGGGAGGAGCCCAGAGCCUGAAUCAGUGUGUGUGUUAGUGGAAGCGUCUGGAAAGGCGCGCGAUACAGGGUGACAGCCCCGUACACAAAAAUGCACAUAUUGUGAGCUCGAUGAGUAGGGCGGGACACGUGGUAUCCUGUCUGAAUAUGGGGGGACCAUCCUCCAAGGCUAAAUACUCCUGACUGACCGAUAGUGAACCAGUACCGUGAGGGAAAGGCGAAAAGAACCCCGGCGAGGGGAGUGAAAAAGAACCUGAAACCGUGUACGUACAAGCAGUGGGAGCCUCUUUAUGGGGUGACUGCGUACCUUUUGUAUAAUGGGUCAGCGACUUAUAUUCUGUAGCAAGGUUAACCGAAUAGGGGAGCCGAAGGGAAACCGAGUCUUAACUGGGCGUUAAGUUGCAGGGUAUAGACCCGAAACCCGGUGAUCUAGCCAUGGGCAGGUUGAAGGUUGGGUAACACUAACUGGAGGACCGAACCGACUAAUGUUGAAAAAUUAGCGGAUGACUUGUGGCUGGGGGUGAAAGGCCAAUCAAACCGGGAGAUAGCUGGUUCUCCCCGAAAGCUAUUUAGGUAGCGCCUCGUGAAUUCAUCUCCGGGGGUAGAGCACUGUUUCGGCAAGGGGGUCAUCCCGACUUACCAACCCGAUGCAAACUGCGAAUACCGGAGAAUGUUAUCACGGGAGACACACGGCGGGUGCUAACGUCCGUCGUGAAGAGGGAAACAACCCAGACCGCCAGCUAAGGUCCCAAAGUCAUGGUUAAGUGGGAAACGAUGUGGGAAGGCCCAGACAGCCAGGAUGUUGGCUUAGAAGCAGCCAUCAUUUAAAGAAAGCGUAAUAGCUCACUGGUCGAGUCGGCCUGCGCGGAAGAUGUAACGGGGCUAAACCAUGCACCGAAGCUGCGGCAGCGACACUAUGUGUUGUUGGGUAGGGGAGCGUUCUGUAAGCCUGUGAAGGUGGCCUGUGAGGGUUGCUGGAGGUAUCAGAAGUGCGAAUGCUGACAUAAGUAACGAUAAAGCGGGUGAAAAGCCCGCUCGCCGGAAGACCAAGGGUUCCUGUCCAACGUUAAUCGGGGCAGGGUGAGUCGACCCCUAAGGCGAGGCCGAAAGGCGUAGUCGAUGGGAAACAGGUUAAUAUUCCUGUACUUGGUGUUACUGCGAAGGGGGGACGGAGAAGGCUAUGUUGGCCGGGCGACGGUUGUCCCGGUUUAAGCGUGUAGGCUGGUUUUCCAGGCAAAUCCGGAAAACCAAGGCUGAGGCGUGAUGACGAGGCACUACGGUGCUGAAGCGACAAAUGCCCUGCUUCCAGGAAAAGCCUCUAAGCAUCAGGUAACAUCAAAUCGUACCCCAAACCGACACAGGUGGUCAGGUAGAGAAUACCAAGGCGCUUGAGAGAACUCGGGUGAAGGAACUAGGCAAAAUGGUGCCGUAACUUCGGGAGAAGGCACGCUGAUAUGUAGGUGAAGCGACUUGCUCGUGGAGCUGAAAUCAGUCGAAGAUACCAGCUGGCUGCAACUGUUUAUUAAAAACACAGCACUGUGCAAACACGAAAGUGGACGUAUACGGUGUGACGCCUGCCCGGUGCCGGAAGGUUAAUUGAUGGGGUUAGCGGUAACGCGAAGCUCUUGAUCGAAGCCCCGGUAAACGGCGGCCGUAACUAUAACGGUCCUAAGGUAGCGAAAUUCCUUGUCGGGUAAGUUCCGACCUGCACGAAUGGCGUAAUGAUGGCCAGGCUGUCUCCACCCGAGACUCAGUGAAAUUGAACUCGCUGUGAAGAUGCAGUGUACCCGCGGCAAGACGGAAAGACCCCGUGAACCUUUACUAUAGCUUGACACUGAACAUUGAGCCUUGAUGUGUAGGAUAGGUGGGAGGCUUUGAAGUGUGGACGCCAGUCUGCAUGGAGCCGACCUUGAAAUACCACCCUUUAAUGUUUGAUGUUCUAACGUUGGCCCGUAAUCCGGGUUGCGGACAGUGUCUGGUGGGUAGUUUGACUGGGGCGGUCUCCUCCUAAAGAGUAACGGAGGAGCACGAAGGUUGGCUAAUCCUGGUCGGACAUCAGGAGGUUAGUGCAAUGGCAUAAGCCAGCUUGACUGCGAGCGUGACGGCGCGAGCAGGUGCGAAAGCAGGUCAUAGUGAUCCGGUGGUUCUGAAUGGAAGGGCCAUCGCUCAACGGAUAAAAGGUACUCCGGGGAUAACAGGCUGAUACCGCCCAAGAGUUCAUAUCGACGGCGGUGUUUGGCACCUCGAUGUCGGCUCAUCACAUCCUGGGGCUGAAGUAGGUCCCAAGGGUAUGGCUGUUCGCCAUUUAAAGUGGUACGCGAGCUGGGUUUAGAACGUCGUGAGACAGUUCGGUCCCUAUCUGCCGUGGGCGCUGGAGAACUGAGGGGGGCUGCUCCUAGUACGAGAGGACCGGAGUGGACGCAUCACUGGUGUUCGGGUUGUCAUGCCAAUGGCACUGCCCGGUAGCUAAAUGCGGAAGAGAUAAGUGCUGAAAGCAUCUAAGCACGAAACUUGCCCCGAGAUGAGUUCUCCCUGACUCCUUGAGAGUCCUGAAGGAACGUUGAAGACGACGACGUUGAUAGGCCGGGUGUGUAAGCGCAGCGAUGCGUUGAGCUAA
rnacentral:rRNA from 1 species